rnacentral:rRNA from 1 species
AGGGUUCGAUUCUGGCUCAGAAGGAACGCUGGCAGCGCGCAUAACACAUGCAAGUCGAACGGUAGUAUUAUCUUCGGAUAAUAUGAGAGUGGCGAACGGGUGAGUAACACGUAAGAAUCUACCUUUAGGACGGGGAUAACUUCUGGAAACGGAUGCUAAUACCCGAUAUGCUGUGGAGUGAAAUGAAUUUCGCCUAAAGAUGAUCUUGCGUCUGAUUAGCUAGAUAGGGUGGUAAUGGCGCCCUAUGGCAACGAUCAGUAGCUGGUCUGAGAGGAUGAUCAGCCACAUUGGGACUGAGACACGGCCCAAACUUCUACGGGAGGCAGCAGUAGGGAAUAUUGCACAAUGGAGGAAACUCUGAUGCAGCGAUGCCGCGUGAGUGAAGAAGGCCUUUGGGUAGUAAAGCUCUUUCGUCGGGGAAGAAAAUGACUGUACCCGAAUAAGAAGUCCGCA